AAAUUGAAGAGUUUGAUCAUGGCUCAGAUUGAACGCUGGCGGCAGGCCUAACACAUGCAAGUCGAACGGUAACAGGAAGCAGCUUGCUGCUUUGCUGACGAGUGGCGGACGGGUGAGUAAUGUCUGGGAAACUGCCUGAUGGAGGGGGAUAACUACUGGAAACGGUGGCUAAUACCGCAUAACGUCGCAAGACCAAAGAGCUAGCUGGUCUGAGAGGAUGACCAGCCACACUGGAACUGAGACACGGUCCAGACUCCUACGGGAGGCAGCAGUGGGGAAUAUUGCACAAUGGGCGCAAGCCUGAUGCAGCCAUGCCGCGUGUAUGAAGAAGGCCUUCGGGUUGUAAAGUACUUUCAGCGGGGAGGAAGGUGUUGUGGUUAAUAACCGCAGCAAUUGACGUUACCCGCAGAAGAAGCACCGGCUAACUCCGUGCCAGCAGCCGCGGUAAUACGGAGGGUGCAAGCGUUAAUCGGAAUUACUGGGCGUAAAGCGCACGCAGGCGGUCUGUCAAGUCGGAUGUGAAAUCCCCGGGCUCAACCGGUAGUCCACGCCGUAAACGAUGUCUACUUGGAGGUUGUGCCCUUGAGGCGUGGCUUCCGGAGCUAACGCGUUAAGUAGACCGCCUGGGGAGUACGGCCGCAAGGUUAAAACUCAAAUGAAUUGACGGGGGCCCGCACAAGCGGUGGAGCAUGUGGUUUAAUUCGAUGCAACGCGAAGAACCUUACCUGGUCUUGACAUCCACGGAAGAAUUCAGAGAUGGAUUUGUGCCUUCGGGAACCGUGAGACAGGUGCUGCAUGGCUGUCGUCAGCUCGUGUUGUGAAAUGUUGGGUUAAGUCCCGCAACGAGCGCAACCCUUAUCCUUUGUUGCCAGCGAUUAGGUCUACAAUGGCGCAUACAAAGAGAAGCGACCUCGCGAGAGCAAGCGGACCUCAUAAAGUCUGCAACUCGACUCCAUGAAGUCGGAAUCGCUAGUAAUCGUGGAUCAGAAUGCCACGGUGAAUACGUUCCCGGGCCUUGUACACACCGCCCGUCACACCAUGGGAGUGGGUUGCAAAAGAAGUAGGUAGCUUAACCUUCGGGAGGGCGCUUACCACUUUGUGAUUCAUGACUGGGGUGAAGUCGUAACAAGGUAACCGUAGGGGAACCUGCGGUUGGAUCACCUCCUUACCUUAAAGAAGC
rnacentral:rRNA from 1 species